GGAUGGUCCUGGUGGCCUGUUUUAAUCCAUAUUCCUUUGAUUUCUAAAUCCAUUAACUACAAUGGAUUAUCCCAAUCUUGGAUAUUUUAAAUUUCCGAUUUGAACACACCUUAACGAUCUGAGUGUAUGAAUAUGAUUUGAACACAUUUUUACAAUCUGAGGUAUGA